CUUUCGCCCGAGGCGGGCUGCGGGCUGCUGGGGUCUGGUGCGGAGGGCCAACUUCUGGGAAUAACCUGGCUGUGGGCUUAAAAAUCGUAGUCAUUCAUUAUCACGGGCUUCUCUCUCUCGAAUACCUUUAACAUUUAUCGCCUUGUUAGUCUCCACAUCCACCUCCGUGAAAGAGAUGGAGUCUCGCUAUAUUUCCCAGUCUGGCCUCAAACUCCUGAUCUUAAGGGAUCCCCAGCUCAACCUCUCCCAGCAGCUGGGACUACCGGGCUGUCAAAUUUACAUUAACUAUGAGAAUUAAGCAGAAUCCGAAAGUCAUCUGAGUUGGCUAUCUGCACGUUCUCUCUGUACCAGUGAACUUGAACUGUGGCUGUGGCCUGGAUUCCGCAUUCAAACAUGACCAACUGACCUCUGGUUGUAGGGAUGUCUUGAAGAUGCUGAAGAACAAACACAGAGUUCAGAGGAUGGAAGAAACUGUUAUACCAUCUACAAUGAUUUGAAAUGCCAUUUGCAACUGCAGUUGACCGUGGGUUAUUGAAACCACAGAAAGUGAAACUGGAUAACGAAGGGAAACACUAUCCCAGCCUCAACAAGGAGCUUGAUUUGGGCACAGAAACAGGAGAAAGAGACCUGCCUUGCCUCCCUUAUCCAACCGGAAGUAUUCUUCUUCUUCUGUCUUCAAUUUAUUGCAUGAUCACAUUUAUUGCAUGGGUGGCUUCAGGAAGGAUUUUAGGGAUUCCUGGAAAUAAUCAGUCUUGAAAUACUCCCCUCUUCUUCCUUCAUCUAGGAUGCUUCCUCUUCUCUCAAUAUAUUCUCACUUAUGGGUAUAAAG
rnacentral:lncRNA from 1 species